UACGGACAUAUCAUGUUAAACCACCGGUUCUCGUGCGAUCACCGAAAUUUAGCAACGUUGAGCCUGAUAAGUCUCUAAAUGGGUGACCGCUAGGGAGGACUAGGUGAUGUAA